UGGCCACACAGCUGUGUAAAUACAUUUGGCGAGGUGGCUUUUGGUCUGACUGUAGACUGAGUUUAAAUGACAGUUGCACUUGCACUGGGUGACUGAUCUCCAUUUCCUGGACAGUAAAAGCAGGGUUUCCCUUCUUGGAGUUAGUCAAGUCAGAUUUUAGGGCAGGAUAAAGACAUGGUGAUAAAUGAGUGUGUGGGCCGUCUGCUGAGGACCAGGAGCUCAGGACACUCAGACGGGGGCGUCGCAGCAGGAGUCACCGCGCACCACAAUCCUCUGCUGUUCUGAGAUGUCACACUCCUGCCUGCACAUAGAAACCACAGUGAAGUCAAAGUUCCACCUGCACCUCCACCUGUUCUUGCAACAGCAUGAACACUGACAGAGGAGGAAGGUGGAGGCGCAGCUCCAGCAGAGCAACACCAGAGGU